GACGAACGCUGGCGGCGUGCUUAACACAUGCAAGUCGAACGAUGAAGCUGGAGCUUGCUCCGGUGGAUUAGUGGCGAACGGGUGAGUAACACGUGAGCAAUCUGCCCUUGACUCUGGGAUAACUGCUAGAAAUGGUAGCUAAUACCGGAUACGACCCUCGGUGGCAUCACCAGGGGGUGGAAAGAAUUUCGGUCAAGGAUGGACUCGCGGCCUAUCAGCUAGUUGGUGAGGUAACGGCUCACCAAGGCGACGACGGGUAGCCGGCCUGAGAGGGUGACCGGCCACACUGGGACUGAGACACGGCCCAGACUCCUACGGGAGGCAGCAGUGGGGAAUAUUGCACAAUGGGCGCAAGCCUGAUGCAGCAACGCCGCGUGAGGGAUGACGGCCUUCGGGUUGUAAACCUCUUUUAGUAGGGAAGAAGCGAAAGUGACGGUACCUGCAGAAAAAGCACCGGCUAACUACGUGCCAGCCGCCGCAGUAA
rnacentral:rRNA from 1 species